AAAGCUCGUAGUUGGGUUUCUGGUACAACGCGCCUGGCCCGCAUUUGUGAGUGCCGGCGCGCGUUUGCCAUCCUUCUAGAAAACGUUUCUACCUGGGCAACUGGGCCGGACUCGCGAUCUAGAUCUUUUACUUUGAAAAAAUUAGAGUGUUUAAAGCAGGCUUUUGCUGUGAAUACAUUAGCAUGGAAUAAUAAUCUAGGACUUCGGUUCUAUUUUGUUGGUUUCUAGUACUGAAGUAAUGAUUGAUAGGGAUAGUUGGGGGUGCUAGUAUUGGCCGGCCAGAGGUGAAAUUCUUGGAUUCGGUCAAGACUAACUUAUGCGAAAGCAUUCACCAAGGAUGUCUUCUUUA
rnacentral:rRNA from 1 species